rnacentral:rRNA from 1 species
UACGGGGGGGAGCAAGCGUUGUUCGGAUUUACUGGGCGUAAAGGGCGCGUAGGCGGUCGAGCACAAGUCAGUUGUGAAAUCUCCGGGCUUAACUCGGAAAGGUCAACUGAUACUGUGCGACUAGAGUGCAGAAGGGGCAACUGGAAUUCUCGGUGUAGCGGUGAAAUGCGUAGAUAUCGAGAGGAACACCUGCGGCGAAGGCGGGUUGCUGGGCUGACACUGACGCUGAUGCGCGAAAGCCAGGGGAGCGAACGGG